rnacentral:rRNA from 1 species
CAAUAGCGUAUAUUAACUUUGUUGCAGUUAAAAAGCUCGUAGUUGAAUUUUUGGUCUUUAUUGUGUUGCCGACUAUUUGUUGGUUGAUGCGAUUUGGCCUUUUGCGGAUUGAUUGUUCGUGGCAUUAGGUUGUCGCGGAUUGGAUGUCCGUCGUUUACUGUGAAAAAAUUAGAGUGUUCAAAGCAGGCUUAUGCCGUUGAAUAUAUUAGCAUGGAAUAAUGAGAUAGGACCUUGGUGCUAUUUUGUUGGUUUGCGCGCCGUGGUAAUGAUUAACAGGAACGGUUGGGGGUCUUCGUAUUCCAUUGUCAGAGGUGAAAUUCUUGGAUUUCUGGAAGACGAACUACUGCGAAAGCAUUGACCAAGGAUGUUUUCAUUAA